UGAAUACGAGACGCUAAGGCGUCGAAGUAGUGUAUGUCAUACUUCCAAGAAAAGCUUGCACUGUCAUAAGUAAAAAAUGCCUGUACCAUAACCGACACAGGUGGGUAGGUAGAGUAUACUAAGGGGCGCGAGAUAACUCUCUCUAAGGAACUCGGCAAAAUAACUCCGUAACUUCGGGAGAAGGAGUACCUUAUUCUAUAAGGUUGCAAUAACAAGAUCCAAGCAACUGUUUAUCAAAAACACAGGUCUCCGCUAAGUCGUAAGACGAUGUAUGGGGGCUGACGCCUGCCCAGUGCCAGAAGGUUAAAGAAGUCGGUUAGCAUUAGCGAAGCUGGUAACUGAAGCCCUGGUGAACGGCGGCCGUAACAAUAACGGUCCUAAGGUAGCGAAAUUCCUUGUCGGGUAAGUUCCGACCCGCACGAAAGGCGUAAUGAUUUGGAUACUGUCUCGGAGAGGGGCUCGGUGAAAUAGACUUGUCUGUGAAGAUGCGGACUACCUGCACCAGGACAGAAAGACCCUAUGAAGCUUUACUGUAACUUGAAAUUGAAAUUGGACUUUAUUCGCGCAGUAUAGGUGGGAGGUGUUGAUUAUAAUCUUGCGGGAUUAUUGGAGCCAUCAGUGAGAUACCACUCUUGUAAUGUUAGAUUUCUAACUUUGAAUCAUUAUCUGGUCAAAGGACAGCUUCAGGCGGGCAGUUUGACUGGGGCGGUCGCCUCCCAAACGGUAACGGAGGCGUACAAAGGUUUCCUCUGAACGGGUAGAAAUCGUAUCUAGAGUGUGAAGGCAUAAGGAAGCUUGACUGUGAGACCUACAAGUCGAACAGGGACGAAAGUCGGUCUUAGUGAUCUGACGGUACUGAGUGGAAAGGCCGUCACUCAACGGAUAAAAGUUACUCUAGGAUAACAGGCUGAUCUCCCCCAAGAGUUCACAUCGACGGGGAGGUUUGGCACCUCGAUGUCGGCUCAUCGCAUCCUGGGGCGGUAGUACGUCCCAAGGGUUGGGCUGUUCGCCCAUGAAAGCGGUACGCGAGCUGGGUUCAGAACGUCGUGAGACAGUUCGGUCCAUAUCCGGUGUAGGCGUUAGAAUAUUGAGAGGAGCCUUCUUUAGUACGAGAGGACCGAGAAGGACAUACCUCUGGUGUACCAGUUAUCGUGCCAACGGUAAACGCUGGGUAGCUAUGUAUGGAGUGGAUAACCGCUGAAAGCAUCUAAGUGGGAAGCCCACCUCAAGAUAAGUAUUCUC
rnacentral:rRNA from 1 species